CGCGUAGGCGGCCAUGUAAGUCAGAUGUGAAAGUCCACGGCUCAACCGUGGAAGUGCAUUUGAAACUGUGUGGCUUGAGUACUGGAGGGGGUAGUGGAAUUCCCGGUGUAGAGGUGAAAUUCGUAGAUAUCGGGAGGAAUACCGGUGGCGAAGGCGACUACCUGGCCAGAUACUGACGCUGAGGUGCGAAAGCGUGGGGAGCAAACA
rnacentral:rRNA from 1 species